rnacentral:rRNA from 1 species
CCUACGGGAGGCAGCAGUGGGGAAUAUUGCACAAUGGGGGGAACUCUGAUGCAGCGACGCCGCGUGAGUGAAGAAGUAUUUCGGUAUGUAAAGCUCUAUCAGCAGGGAAGAAAAUGACGGUACCUGACUACGCAGCCCAGGUUAACUACGUGCCAGCAGCCGCGGUAAUACGUAGGGGGCAAGCGUUAUCCGGAUUUACUGGGUGUAAAGGGAGCGUUGACGGUUAUGCAAGUCUGAAGGGAAAGCCCAAGGCUCAACCAUGGGACUGCUUUGGAAACUGUAAAACUUGAGUGCAGGAGAGGUAAGCGGAAUUCCUAGUGUAGCGGUGAAAUGCGUAGAUAUUAGGAGGAACACCAGUGGCGAAGGCGGCUUACUGGACUGUAACUGACGUUGAGGCUCGAAGGCGUGGGGAGCAAACAGGAUUAGAUACCCCAGUAGUC